UACGAAGGGGGCUAGCGUUGCUCGGAAUUACUGGGCGUAAAGGGCGCGUAGGCGGCACUGUUAGUCAGGCGUGAAAUUCCUGGGCUCAACCUGGGGACUGCGCUUGAUACGGCAGAGCUUGAGGAUGGAAGAGGGUCGCGGAAUUCCCAGUGUAGAGGUGAAAUUCGUAGAUAUUGGGAAGAACACCGGUGGCGAAGGCGGCGACCUGGUCCAUUACUGACGCUGAGGAGCGAAAGUGUGGGGAGCGAACAGG
rnacentral:rRNA from 1 species